rnacentral:rRNA from 1 species
AGAGUUUGAUCCUGGCUCAGGACGAACGCUGGCGGCGUGCUUAACACAUGCAAGUCGAGCGGUAAGGCCUUUCGGGGUACACGAGCGGCGAACGGGUGAGUAACACGUGGGUGAUCUGCCCUGCACUUCGGGAUAAGCCUGGGAAACUGGGUCUAAUACCGGAUAUGACCUCCUAUCGCAUGGUGGGUGGUGGAAAGAUUUAUCGGUGCAGGAUGGGCCCGCGGCCUAUCAGCUUGUUGGUGGGGUAAUGGCCUACCAAGGCGACGACGGGUAGCCGACCUGAGAGGGUGACCGGCCACACUGGGACUGAGACACGGCCCGGACUCCUACGGGAGGCAGCAGUGGGGAAUAUUGCACAAUGGGCGAAAGCCUGAUGCAGCGACGCCGCGUGAGGGAUGACGGCCUUCGGGUUGUAAACCUCUUUCAGCAGGGACGAAGCGCAAGUGACGGUACCUGCAGAAGAAGCACCGGCUAACUACGUG